ACUCAAAUGAAUUGACGGGGGCCCGCACAAGCGGUGGAGCAUGUGGUUUAAUUCGACGCAACGCGCAGAACCUUACCCAGGCUAGAAAAGUAGAGAACCCUGUAGAAAUAUGGGGGUGCCCUUCGGGGAGCUCUAAUCCAGGUGCUGCAUGGCUGUCGUCAGCUCGUGUCGUGAGAUGUUGGGUUAAGUCCCGCAACGAGCGCAACCCUUGUCAUUAGUUGCUAACGGUUCGGCCGAGCACUCUAAUGAGACUGCCGGGGUUAACCCGGAGGAAGGUGGGGAUGACGUCAAGUCCUCAUGGCCCUUAUGUCUGGGGCUACACACGUGCUACAAUGGUCGGUACAAAGCGCAGCGAGCCCGCGAGGGGGAGCGAAUCGCAAAAAGCCGGCCUCAGUACGGAUUGCAGUCUGCAACUCGACUGCAUGAAGGCGGAAUCGCUAGUAAUCGUUGAUCAGCAGGCAACGGUGAAUACGUUCCCGGGCCUUGCACACACCGCCCGU
rnacentral:rRNA from 1 species